GGCGCGGGGCGCGAGGAUGACGGGGGGCGCGAGGGGGCCGCGGCCGCCACCGAAGUUGGGCCGAGAGCCGGCGACGGCCCCGCGCCAGGGUCGCAGGGUGCCAGGAUAUGCAGGGCUCCUGGGACGGCCUGCUGGAUGUCCGCCAAGCUGAAGGCAGCCCUGGGCAGGCACGGGUGUUGUGGUCAGACCCUGGGACAUCAGGACCGGAACCUCCAGAACCACCCUCUUGAGGGACACCUCUGGGAACGUUCUUGAGGAGGACAGUAGCAGAUUUGGCUUUUUUGUGCACUUCUGCCCCUUCAGCAAGGCCACUCUUGGAGUCAGGACUCUGAAGGCCCAUUUGUGCUGCCCAAUGAUGUGCCCCUCCCAGAAGUGGAGGUUCCCCAGGCCCGCCUUCACUGUUGUGUAUUCUCAAGUUCACUGUGAAAAUCUGGUCGUGGAGCAGGCCCAGAGCGGCCUCUGGGCGGGCAGAUGCCAGGACGCCUCGGCAGGCCUCAUCUCCUCUCCCAGGCGUGGGGGUGGAGGGUGGAGGGUGGAGCAGCCUGGUGGGGAGGGGGGGCUUAGUCAGGGCCUCAAGUGGACUUAGACUCCCCUUCGGAGGGACCCUGUCCUAAUGGUCGAUGUGGUGUGCUGCGUGUCACACCGAGCCGGCUUCGCAGGGAGCUGUGGGUGGCCUUGGGGGUGAGAACCAGUGGAGCGGACUUGCUGCCACCGGUUGAUGACUUAUGUUGCGAGAUCCUCAGUGAACCCUGCUGUUCUCAGCCAGCCCUUGAGGGCACUUCCAUGCUGGGGGUGAGCAGACACUCUGAGGUCAGCCCACCGACAGCCUGGCCCUGUGGAGCGACAGUGAGGAUGGCGGCCCUCGACAUCCCCCUGGCUGGGUGCUGCCUCAGCUCCAGGGAGCUGGCCUGGCUUGGCUGGCCCUGGCCUGGCUUGGCUGGCCCUGCCCUGGCCUGGGGGAGCUGGGCCUCUCCACUCCUCAGCACAUCUCACAUAGUUUUCAAAGCACAGUUUAAAACUCAGAAGUAAACUUUUCAGAUUUGC